rnacentral:rRNA from 1 species
UACGUAGGGUGCAAGCGUUAAUCGGAAUUACUGGGCGUAAAGCGUGCGCAGGCGGUUCGCUAAGACCGAUGUGAAAUCCCCGGGCUUAACCUGGGAACUGCAUUGGUGACUGGCGGGCUAGAGUAUGGCAGAGGGGGGUAGAAUUCCACGUGUAGCAGUGAAAUGCGUAGAGAUGUGGAGGAAUACCGAUGGCGAAGGCAGCUCGCUGGGACGGUACUGACGCUGAGGCGCGAAAGCGUGGGGAGCAAACAGG